rnacentral:rRNA from 1 species
UACGGAGGAUGCAAGCGUUAUCCGGAAUGAUUGGGCGUAAAGCGUCCGCAGGUGGCUAUGUAAGUCUGCUGUUAAAGAGUGAGGCUCAACCUCAUAAAAGCAGUGGAAACUACAUGGCUAGAGUGCGUUCGGGGCAGAGGGAAUUCCUGGUGUAGCGGUGAAAUGCGUAGAGAUCAGGAAGAACACCGGUGGCGAAAGCGUUCUGCUAGACCUGUACUGACACUGAGGGACGAAAGCUAGGGGAGCGAAUGGG